UAGCGGCAGGCCUAACACAUGCAAGUCGAGGGGUAACAGGGAGCUUGCUCCGCUGACGACCGGCGCACGGGUGCGCACCGCGUAUGGAACCUACCUUGUACAGGGGAAUAGCCCAGGGAAACUUGGAUUAAUGCCCCGUGGUACCAUGACCCGGCAUCGGGAUAUGGUUAAAGCCUUCGGGCGGUACAAGAUGGCCAUGCGUCCCAUUAGUUUGUUGGUAAGGUAACGGCUUACCAAGACUACGAUGGGUAGGGGCCCUGAGAGGGGGAUCCCCCACACUGGUACUGAGACACGGACCAGACUCCUACGGGAGGCAGCAGUGAGGAAUAUUGGACAAUGGAGGAGACUCUGAUCCAGCCAUGCCGCGUGCAGGAAGAAUGCCCUAUGGGUAGUAAACUGCUUUUAUACGGGAAGAAAAAGAGCUACGUGUAGCUUACUGACGGUACCGUAAGAAUAAGGACCGGCUAACUCCGUGCCAGCAGCCGCGGUAAUACGGAGGGUCCGAGCGUUAUCCGGAAUUAUUGGGUUUAAAGGGUCCGUAGGCGGGCCGAUAAGUCAGGGGUGAAAGUCUGCCGCUCAACGGUAGAACUGCCUUUGAUACUGUCGGUCUUGAGUUAUAGUGAAGUUGCCGGAAUAUGUAGUGUAGCGGUGAAAUGCAUAGAUAUUACAUAGAACACCGAUUGCGAAGGCAGGUGACUAACUAUAUACUGACGCUGAUGGACGAAAGCGUGGGGAGCGAACAGGAUUAGAUACCCUGGUAGUCCACGCCGUAAACGAUGGAUACUAGCUGUCCGGAACCUUGAGUUCUGGGCGGCCAAGCGAAAGUGAUA
rnacentral:rRNA from 1 species